CGGAAAUGAAUAAAUUGAUUUAAACAAAAUUGAACUUAAUUGAACAAAAAAAAAGGGUGAUAAAAAACGAAUAAAAGCAACAAAAAUUGGAACCACAUAUCAAUUUUCUUUUCUUUUUUUUUGUCUUUGUUAUUCUUUUUCCUCUACCUUCCACCACCACCUCUCUUCUCCAUUGUAGCUCAUUUAUAGCAUAAUCAACCAUUAUAUAAUGCUUUAUAAUGUAACAAUUUUCCUCUUUUUCUUGUUUUAUUGAUUAAAAGAAAAUCCAACAUUAUUGCAAGAUGAAUAUAGAGAAGAUAAAAGAAGGAAUCAAAUGAACCUAAUUGUUACAUAAAAUAAGCCCAAAUGAACUCUUGAACACAUACAAACACUUACACGAGAGAGAAAAUAGGGAGAGAAGGGAGAAAGGUAAACAAGAGAAAACCCUAAGAGAGGAAAAAGAAAAGGGAAAUGGGUGGUGGAAAAGAGAGGAAGAAAGAAGAAAAAGGUAGUGAAGGUGGAUUGUAGAGAAGAGGGAGAAAAGGGAAAAAGGUGGUAGAAAGUGAUGAACAGUUAAGGAAGAAAGAACAAAAAAUAAAUAAAAGACACAAUAAUUAUCUUCUAAAUAGUGAUAAUAUCAAUUUAACGGAAGAUAUUGCAUUGAAUCCUUUUAAACAUUAGUGCAAAAAGUCAAUUCAAUGACGACUUAAUAAGUUGACCGGUGACAAGGCACUUGUCAUAAUAAGUUGACCAAUGAAAAAUUCGUAAUAAAGGCUUAAACUUAUUAUGAUCGGUGUAGGUUGACCUAUCAUGAUAACUUCACCGGUGCAUAUUCGUGAUAAAAAAAUAAACUUACUGUGACUAGUGUAGGUGAACAUGUCAUAAUAAGUUGUCCAGUGACAUUUUUGUAAUAAUGGUUAGACUUAUUAUGUCUGGUAUUAAUAAACUUGUCAUAAUAAGUGGAGUAUAGUGACAAUUAUUAGGUUAGUUAAUGAAAGACCGAACAUAGUAAAUAUUUACCAUGUCUAUUACUUGAUACCUCAUAUAGUAUGUUUGAAUCUUUUAUUUCUCUAAGUCAUUUCGCUUUUCCUCUUCAAGUUCCACUUAAUCUUCCUUUCUGAAGGAGUUCUCAUUUCCUCUUCCACUCAAUCUUCCUCUUUGAACCACUUUCCAUUCUCGCAUUUUCAUUAAAGCAAUUCCCUCUAUUGUAGCAUCUUCCAUUCUCGUUGUCUUCUAUUAUGGUCUUCCCGUGUUCUUCUAUUGAAGUAAGUUGAACUUGUGAAUCCUAAAAUGUAGGGGGUCGCUGAUGUCAUUCUUCCACUUCAUCUUCAAAAAUCCAGAGGGCUUCUUUCCUUCUAUGCAAGCUUUAGCAGGCAUUACUAUCUACAAUUAGGGUUGUCACCG
rnacentral:lncRNA from 1 species